UCCUAUAAAGGUUUCUGUUUUGCAAAUAUAGGUUAUUUAGCCCAUGCAGAAAUAGCAAGUAUAUAAGCACUGAUGCUUUCCAUUCAAACCAUGAAUUAACAGUCUAUACCAUUUAAUUUGAUGACGGCAAGAAUUUUUAUCAAGAAUGCCAAGCUCAACAAUCACUUGCUUUUUCUAAUAAAAUAUUCAAAAAUUGUAAGAUUACUUUGUUUGAGAUAUCAAUCUCAUUCUCCAAAAAUUGAAGCCAUGCCUUAUUAAACUUUGAGUAGCUACAAGAAUAAUCUACAUGCUCUUCGACUCUUCUAAAUUUUGAAUAUAUUGAUAAUUGUCUUUAUCCAUAUUAAUUUGGAGAAUUUUUUUGAUCUUUUUAGCUUUAAUCCUCCGCUUUCUCCUCACUUAUGCUUCAGGAAUUUUUAGUAGCAUCAUUAUAUCUAUCCGAUAUAUAAUCACCUAUAAAUCUUACCUAAUCAAAUAAGAUUUGACGUAAGACUUUUGAUAGCCAUAAUUGGUGUCAUUAAAUGUUUUAAUUUCGAUGAGAGAAAUGGUAGUUGUGUCCACCAUGAUGACUUGCCUGCCCAAU
rnacentral:lncRNA from 1 species